UAAUAAAAUAAUUAUGUUUUUAUAAUUUUAAUAUAAAUUUAUUUUACAUAUAAAUUUUAGUAUAUAAUUUUAAUUAUUUAAAUAAUAAUUAAUUAAAUUUGGUAGUAAUUAAUAUUAAAAAUUUAAGAAAUUAAGAUUUAGAAAUAUUAAAAUUAAUAACUAAUUUUGUGCCAGCAGUUGCGGUUAAACAAAAGUUAAAUUAAAAUAUUUCAGUUUAUAAUAAAUAAAUAAUAUUUUAAAAUAAAUAUUGAAUUAUUAAGUGAAAUUUUAAUUUAAUUAAAUUUUAUUAAUAAAUUAUGAUUUAAUAAAUUUUAAUAUAAACUAGGAUUAGAUACCCUAUUAUUAAAAAUUUAAUAUAUAAUACUAAAAUAAUAGAUAAUAAUUUAUUGAAACUUAAAUAAUAUGGCGGUAUUUUAGUUCAUUUAGAGGAAUCUGUCUAAUAAUUGAUAAUCCACGAAUAAAUUUACUUAAUUUAUAAUUUUGUAUAUCAUUGUUAAAAAAAUAUUUUUUAGUAAAAAUAAUAUUUUAAGUUUUAAAAUAAAAGUUAAUUCAGAUCAAGAUGCAGAUUAUAAUUAAGAAUAUGAUGGAUUACAAUAAAAAUAUAUUUAAAUGAAUAAUUUUAUUGAAAGAUAAAUUUGAAGGUGGAUUUAAAUGUAAUUUUAAUUAAUUUAUUAAAAUGAUUAAAAAUUAAAAUAUGUACAUAUUGCCCGUCACUUUCAUUUAAAAAUUGAAAUAAGUCGUAACAAAGUAGAGGUACUGGAAAGUGUUUCUAGAAAGAA
rnacentral:ncRNA from 1 species